UACGGAGGGGGCUAGCGUUGUUCGGAAUUACUGGGCGUAAAGCGCGCGUAGGCGAACCUGCAAGUCGGGGGUGAAAGCCCGAGGCUCAACCUCGGAACUGCCUUCGAUACUGCGGGUCUCGAGUCCGGGAGAGGUGAGUGGAAUCCUAGUGUAGAGGUGAAAUUCGUAGAUAUUAGGAAGAACACCAGUGGCGAAGGCGGCUCACUGGCCCGGUACUGACGCUGAGGCGGCGAAAGCGUGGGGAGCAAACAGGG
rnacentral:rRNA from 1 species